rnacentral:siRNA from 1 species
UGAAGGAGCGAAUGCUGAUGCG